CAAUACUACUUGCCAGAGUACUACCAGCAACAGCUUAAAACUCAAAGGACUUGGCGGUGCUUCAUAUCCAUCUAGAGGAGCCUGUUCUAUAAUCGAUGAACCCUGAUAAACCUCGCCAACCCUUGCUAAUUCAGCCUAUAUACCACCAUCUUCAGCGAACCCUAAAAAGGAGACACAGUAAGCAAAACCAUGGAACAUAAAAACGUUAGGUCAAGGUGUAGCCCAUGGGUUGGAAAGAAAUGGGCUACAUUCUCUAGCAUAGAACACUUACGAAAAUUUUCGUGAAAUCGAAAAUGGAAGGAGGAUUUAGUAGUAAAUUAAGAAUAGAGAGCUUAAUUGAAUAAGGCCAUGAAGCACGCACACACCGCCCGUCACCCUCCUCAAGUAUAAAAAUCGAUCAAACUAACCCUAUUAACUACUGCGUACACAUAUUAGAGGAGACAAGUCGUAACAAGGUAAGCGUACUGGAAAGUGCGCUUGGACAAACUAAAGUGUAGCUUAUACAAAGCAUCUGGCCUACACCCAGAAGAUUUCACACAAAGUGACCACUUUGAACAAAUGCUAGCCCACACCACACCAAACUUAACUUACAAUCUAAAAUAAAUCAAAACAUUUACCAUCCCCUUAAAAGUAUAGGAGAUAGAAAUUUUAAUAGGCGCUACGGAGAAAGUACCGUAAGGGAAAGAUGAAAGAUAAAUUAAAAGUAAAAAACAGCAAAGCUUAACACUUGUACCUUUUGCAUAAUGAUUUAACCAGACUAACUUGGCAAAGAGAACUUAAGCCAAGCAGCCCGAAACCAGACGAGCCACCCAAGGGCAGCUAAGGAGCACACUCAUCUAUGUGGCAAAAUAGUGAGAAGACCUCUGGGUAGAGGUGAAAAGCUUACCGAGCCCGGUGAUAGCUGGUUGUCCAGAAUAGAAUAUUAGUUCGACCUUAAGACCUGCCUAAAAGACUCUUAACUCAAAUGCAGUCUUAAAAUGUAAUCUAAAAGGGUACAGCCUUUCAGAAUCAGAGUACAAUCUUUAAUAGAGAGUAAGUUUAUCAAACCCCAUAGUUGGCCUAAAAGCGGCCACCAAUUAAGAAAGCGUUCAAGCUCAAAGACCCCCUAUUACCUUAAUCCAAAUAACAAUGUACAAACUCCUACACCAAAACUGGACCAUUCUAUAGCACUAUAGAAGGGAUACUGUUAAUAUGAGUAACAAGAAUUACAUUCUCCUCGCACAAGUUUAUAUCAGAACGGAUAGUACGCUGAUAAUUAACAGCAAGAUAAAUAUAUCCCACAACUAAAAUACCUAU
rnacentral:misc_RNA from 1 species